UAUGUAGGGUGCAAGCGUUGUCCGGAAUUAUUGGGCGUAAAGAGCUCGUAGGCGGUUUGUCGCGUCUGCUGUGAAAUCUGGGGGCUCAACCCCCAGCCUGCAGUGGGUACGGGCAGACUAGAGUGCGGUAGGGGAGAUUGGAAUUCCUGGUGUAGCGGUGAAAUGCGCAGAUAUCAGGAGGAACACCGAUGGCGAAGGCAGCUCGCUGGGACGGUACUGACGCUGAGGCGCGAAAGCGUGGGGAGCAAACAGG
rnacentral:rRNA from 1 species